ACAAAGCUUCACAUCUGCUACAUAUGAGCAGGGAGGCCUAGAUCCAGCCCGUAUAUCUUCUUUGUUUGGUGGUUCAGACGCUGAGAGCCCCACAGGUCAGUGUAAUCGGUCUUUGGACAGAUGUAUCCUUUUGUCAAAGAGAAAAGUCACAUGGAGCAAGUAGACCACGCCAACGGACAGAAGAAUUGAUAAUUGAGUUGAAGUAGAUGUGGUCUAGACAAAUCCUGGCAGAUGCGACGAGGACAGAAGACUGUGCUUUAAGAACUAAUGACCAGAAGAGGACAUAUUGUACAUCAUUCUACUCUUGGCUGUCUUUAUGACUGAUCUCCAGGAACAUCAGGAUGUGCGCUCACAGCUAGCUGUUCCUGCCACUGUGCCUUUGCUCUACAAUCAUCGGACAGUUGAAAUAAGCCCAAUGGAGUAAUUUCCUUUAUAAGUUGUCUUGUGUUGCGGUAAAUAUUAAAAGUAACCACAAUCCC
rnacentral:lncRNA from 1 species